UACGAAGGGGGCUAGCGUUGUUCGGAAUCACUGGGCGUAAAGGGCGCGUAGGCGGCCGAUCAAGUCGGGGGUGAAAGCCUGUGGCUCAACCGCAGAAUUGCCUUCGAUACUGUUUGGCUUGAGACCGGAAGAGGUUAGUGGAACUGCGAGUGUAGAGGUGAAAUUCGUAGAUAUUCGCAAGAACACCAGUGGCGAAGGCGGCUGACUGGUCCGGUUCUGACGCUGAGGCGGCGAAAGCGUGGGGAGCAAACACGG
rnacentral:rRNA from 1 species